GGGUGCAGUACAGAGGUGGCGGGCGGGGUCCGGAAGCAACGGGCGUGAAGGGGGCGUAGGUGGCGACAGUAAGGUGGCGGGGAAAGUGUGGGGCUCAAGCCCGGAGGGGCGGCGGCGACUGUGGGGCUUGGGUACGGUAGAGGCAGAUGGAAUUCCGGGUGUAGCGGUGGAAUGCGUAGAGAGCCGGAAGAACACCAGUGGCGAAGGCGGUCUGCUGGGCAGUGUGAUCGAAAGGUCCCUUCAACCGACACUGAGGCGCGACAGCGUGGGGAGCAAACAGGAUUAGAUACCCGGGUAGUC
rnacentral:rRNA from 1 species